rnacentral:rRNA from 1 species
UAGGGAAUCUUCCACAAUGGACGCAAGUCUGAUGGAGCAACGCCGCGUGAGUGAAGAAGGUUUUCGGAUCGUAAAGCUCUGUUGUUGGUGAAGAAGGAUAGAGGUAGUAACUGGCCUUUAUUUGACGGUAAUCAACCAGAAAGUCACGGCUAACUACGUGCCAGCAGCCGCGGUAAUACGUAGGUGGCAAGCGUUGUCCGGAUUUAUUGGGCGUAAAGCGAGCGCAGGCGGAAGAAUAAGUCUGGUGUGAAAGCCCUCGGCUUAACCGAGGAACUGCAUCGGGAACUGUUUUGGUUGAGUGCAGGAGAGGAGAGUUGAAUUCCAGGUGUAGCGGUGGAAUGCGUAGAUAUAUGGAAGAAAACCAGUGGCGAAGGCGACGCUCUGGGCUGCAACUGACGCUGAGGCUCGAAAGCAUGGGUAGCGAACAGG